rnacentral:rRNA from 1 species
GGGGUACACGAGCGGCGAACGGGUGAGUAACACGUGGGUGAUCUGCCUCGCACUUCGGGAUAAGCCUGGGAAACUGGGUCUAAUACCGGAUAUGACCUUUCAGUGCAUGCUGUUGGGUGGAAAGAUUUAUCGGUGCGAGAUGGGCCCGCGGCCUAUCAGCUUGUUGGCGGGGUAACGGCCCACCAAGGCGACGACGGGUAGCCGACCUGAGAGGGUGACCGGCCACACUGGGACUGAGACACGGCCCAGACUCCUACGGGAGGCAGCAGUGGGGAAUAUUGCACAAUGGGCGGAAGCCUGAUGCAGCGACGCCGCGUGAGGGAUGACGGCCUUCGGGUUGUAAACCUCUUUCGACAGGGACGAAGCGCAAGUGACGGUACCUGUAGAAGAAGCACCGGCCAACUACGUGCCAGCAGCCGCGGUAAUACGUAGGGUGCGAGCGUUGUCCGGAAUUACUGGGCGUAAAGAGCUUGUAGGCGGUUUGUCGCGUCGUCCGUGAAAACUUGGGGCUCAACCCCAAGCUUGCGGGCGAUACGGGCAGACUUGAGUACUUCAGGGGAGACUGGAAUUCCUGGUGUAGCGGUGAAAUGCGCAGAUAUCAGGAGGAACACCGGUGGCGAAGGCGGGUCUCUGGGAAGUAACUGACGCUGAGAAGCGAAAGCGUGGGUAGCGAACAGGAUUAGAUACCCUGGUAGUCCACGCCGUAAACGGUGGGUACUAGGUGUGGGUUUCCUUCCACGGGAUCCGUGCCGUAGCUAACGCAUUAAGUACCCCGCCUGGGGAGUACGGCCGCAAGGCUAAAACUCAAAGGAAUUGACGGGGGCCCGCACAAGCGGCGGAGCAUGUGGAUUAAUUCGAUGCAACGCGAAGAACCUUACCUGGGUUUGACAUACACCGGAAACCUGCAGAGAUGUAGGCCCCCUUGUGGUCGGUGUACAGGUGGUGCAUGGCUGUCGUCAGCUCGUGUCGUGAGAUGUUGGGUUAAGUCCCGCAACGAGCGCAACCCUUGUCCUGUGUUGCCAGCGCGUAAUGGCGGGGACUCGCAGGAGACUGCCGGGGUCAACUCGGAGGAAGGUGGGGACGACGUCAAGUCAUCAUGCCCCUUAUGUCCAGGGCUUCACACAUGCUACAAUGGCCGGUACAGAGGGCUGCGAUACCGUGAGGUGGAGCGAAUCCCUUAAAGCCGGUCUCAGUUCGGAUCGGGGUCUGCAACUCGACCCCGUGAAGUUGGAGUCGCUAGUAAUCGCAGAUCAGCAACGCUGCGGUGAAUACGUUCCCGGGCCUUGUACACACCGCCCGUCACGUCAUGAAAAGUCGGUAACACCCGAAGCCGGUGGCCUAACCCCUUG